rnacentral:rRNA from 1 species
GCCCAGUGGCACAUGUUCACGGCCGCGGUAUCCUAACCGUGCGAAGGUAGCGUAAUCACUUGUUCUUUAAAUGGGGACUAGUAUGAAUGGCACCACGAGGGUUGUACUGUCUCCUCUCUCCAAUCAGUGAAACUAAUCUCCCCGUGAAGAAGCGGGGAUAAAUAUAUAAGACGAGAAGACCCUAUGGAGCUUUAAACUUCUCUUCAAGCACUAACCUAUUACUUUAGGUCACUGACCCCACCACAAUUAUCACCGCGCCAUGGAGAUGAAUUUUAGGUUGGGGUGACCACGGAGUACAAAAAAACCUCCACGCUGAACAGGCCUACUAAGCCUUGAGCAAAGGACCACAACCCAAAGCACUAAAAAACUAACACCCAUUGAUCCAAUUUUAUUUGAUCAACGAACCAAGUUACCCUAGGGAUAACAGCGCAAUCUACUUCAAGAGUUCUUAUCGACAAGUGGGUUUACGACCUCGAUGUUGGAUCAGGGUAUCCCAGUGGUGCAGCCGCUACUAAUGGUUCGUUUGUUCAACGAUUAAAACCCUACGUGA